UUCUUCUCCGUUCCUCUUUAGGUUAUCUCAACCAUACAGCAACAAAUCUACCAGAAGAUAAUGCAAGAACCUCUAGCAGCCGACUCUGAAUCUGAAGGGGAAGAGUUUUUGCACAAUCACUUCAAGCUCAAGCUCCUCUUCAAUGGCUGUCUCUAACAUGUCUUCCACCUUUCCUCUUCUCUUCUUCUUCUUCUCCACUCUUCUUUUGAUUUCUGCGAGUUCGUCGUCUUUAUCUCACAAUGUUAAGGUUCAGGAACAAGACAAAGAUCCCUUUGUUGGUUUCAACAUCGGCACCGAUGUCACUAAUCUCCUCUCACCGACGGAACUGGUCAAAUUCCUACAAACUCAGAAAGUAAACCACGUCAGAUUAUACGACGCUGAUCCAGAACUGCUCAAAGCAUUGGCUAAAACCAAGAUACGGGUUAUAAUCAGUGUACC